AAGUAACAACUGAAGAGUUUUUGGAUGAUAAACUAAAAUCCUCAUGAAGAAGUUACUGGUUCUCAGGAUAGUGUUGUGCUAUGAGUUUUUGGGGAACAUAGACAAUUUGGGUGACUUAAUGGUAUCCCAAUUGCACUUACUAAUAGAAAAGAGUAGAAAAUCUUCAAAAUGCCUACUACAUAAAGCAGUAAGUAAUCUACGAUUUUUGUCUUUGGUUGCUAUAAAUUCUUGUUAUUUUGGUUAGUAAAAAAAAAAAAAAAAAAGGAAUAUUUGUUAGGCUGUUUAUUUCUCUUGAAUAAAUAGUUCUUGGCAUUGUUUGGUAUCACUGAGACUGAAAAAUAUCUGGGAUCUAUUUGCAUUUGGCAUAAAGGAUUUCAUUUAGCUUUUUAUAUAGGGGAAAGCUUUUUUGCAUUACUGUAGUAGAUUGGAUGUAUAAUGUUUUUCGGAAGUGAGACUCCAUUUGAGUCAGAAUGAUUUCUAGUCAGUUACUUGAAACAUAUAAAUGAUCUAUCCAUUACACACUAUCAUUUAAACUGUUUUCAGAUAGUCAUAGAGCACUUCAAUUAUGAAAACUAUUUGUUAUAAUUUAAGAGAACUACUUGAGGAUAUUUAGCUGAAAUAAUCAAGUAACUACUCAUCCUUUUUAUUUUUUUAACAUAGGUAAGAUUUUGUUUCAAGGCAGACAUACCGUGUAUGAAGUCUUGUCUUUCUUAAGGGGUGUUAAAAAGUGAUGUCUUGGUAUACAAGCCAGCAAAAUGGAAUUUUGUAAGCUGCGGUGGCCAGCAAGGAUAGUGCUCAGUGUGAUAUGUACAUCUGGAGGGUUCGUUUUUCAUCUCUGAGGAGAUAUGAUGGCUUACUGCACAGCUGCGUAAGUCACCUGAGAAGUCACUUCAGCAGUUUUAUCUUGGUCCUACACUUGCAUGACCAAACAGCAACACAGAUCUGAAAAUCCCUUAUCACCGUCUUUCUUCUUCAUUGGUUGUGAAGUAUGAGUCACUUCUGUUUAUAACAAAAUCUAUUAUACCCCUUGGGCUUACCUGAGAAGCUUUCAAUUCACAGUCCUAAUAAAGAUAAAAACAACAAUAAAAGAACUAACAUAAAAACCUAAGCAAUAUUUGUAUUUAAAUCUUAAAUAUAUUUCUUAUCACUGAGUAGAAUCUGAGCUCUUGUAUGUGAUAGAUGCGGUAAUCAUCCCAUCUACAAGAGCUCUGGAAAAUGAUGCUUUUAUGUGGAAGAACAUUUAAUAAUUACAUAAUGUCACACUAUUUAAUCUGUUUUUCUAUUUAAUCGAUUAUGGGUCCUAUGCUGUCCUUGUUAUUUAAGUUUUAUAGCUAUGUAUAUUUUAAAAUAUUUAUGUUUACAGGAUUUCUAAGAGUCAGAAGAGUUCUGGUGCCAAAAGCAUGGUUUGACAAUUAAUUCAAAGUGUUAAUUGCAGCAUACUGCUGAAACAGACAGUCCCCCUCCUUUCCCUGGCCUUGUGUCCUUCUUCCCUUGCAGUGAUUACAACAACUUUGUGCUCACAGAAUAGGACAGAUUCUUUUUCUGAUCUGAUGGGAAAUGAUUACGUGUGAUGAAGCCCUGCUCUCCUGGAAGUGGCUGAACAUCUGCACGACAGUGGGAAUUAGGAAUGAAUUCCUGAUUUGGCUUUGCACUGUGCACGCAGCUUUUGCUUUACCUAUUAAACUGUCUUUACU
ensembl:lncRNA